rnacentral:misc_RNA from 1 species
CCAAUAGCGUAUAUUAAAGUUGUUGCAGUUAAAAAGCUCGUAGUUGAAUUUCGGGACCAAUCUGCCGGUCGUGCCUCCGGUACGCACUGGUUUUAUUGGUUUCUCCCUUCUGACGAACCAUGAUGUCAUUAAUUUGGUGUCAUGGGGAAUCAGGACUGUUACUUUGAAAAAAUUAGAGUGUUUAUAGCAGGCUCACGCUUGAAUACAUUAGCAUGGAAUAAUGAAAUAGGACGUUUGACCCUAUUUUGUUGGUUUCUAGGAUCGACGUAAUGAUUAAUAGGGAUAGUUGGGGGCAUUAGUAUUCAAUUGUCAGAGGUGAAAUUCUUGGAUUUAUUGAAGACUAACUACUGCGAAAGCAUUUGCCAAGGAUGUUUUCAUUAAUCAAGAACGAAAAUUAGGGGAUCGAAGACGAUCAGAUACCGUCGUAGUCUUAACCAUAAACUAUGCUGACUAGGGAUCAGAUGAUGUUAUUUUUUAAUGACUCAUUCGGCGCCUUACG